rnacentral:rRNA from 1 species
UACGUAGGGUGCGAGCGUUGUCCGGAAUUAUUGGGCGUAAAGGGCUCGUAGGCGGUUUGUCGCGUCGGGAGUGAAAACACACAGCUUAACUGUGUGCUUGCUUCCGAUACGGGCAGACUAGAGGUAUGCAGGGGAGAACGGAAUUCCAGGUGUAGCGGUGAAAUGCGUAGAUAUCGGGAGGAACACCAGUGGCGAAGGCGACUACCUGGCCCAUUCUUGACGCUGAGGCGCGAAAGCUAGGGGAGCGAACGGG